GACGAACGCUGGCGGCGUGCUUAACACAUGCAAGUCGAACGGAAAGGCCCUGCUUUUGUGGGGUGCUCGAGUGGCGAACGGGUGAGUAACACGUGAGUAACCUGCCCUUGACUUUGGGAUAACUUCAGGAAACUGGGGCUAAUACCGGAUAGGAGCUCCUGCUGCAUGGUGGGGGUUGGAAAGUUUCGGCCGUUGGGGAUGGACUCGCGGCUUAUCAGCUUGUUGGUGGGGUAGUGGCUUACCAAGGCUUUGACGGGUAGCCGGCCUGAGAGGGUGACCGGGGACAUUGGGACUGAGAUACGGACCAGACGCCUACGGGAGGCAGCAGUGGAGAAUAUUACACAAUGGGCGGAAGCCUGAUGCAGAAACGCCGCGUGCGGGAUGACGGGCUUCGGGUUGUAAACCGCUUUCGCCUGUGACGAAGCGUGAGUGACGGUAAUGGGUAAAGAAGCACCGGCUAACUACGUG
rnacentral:rRNA from 1 species